UACGUAGGGCGCAAGCGUUAUCCGGAAUUAUUGGGCGUAAAGAGCGUGUAGGCGGCCAGGUAGGUCAGCUGUGAAAACUCGAGGCUCAACCUCGAGACGUCGGUUGAAACCGUAUGGCUAGAGUCCGGAAGAGGAGAGUGGAAUUCCCGGUGUAGCGGUGAAAUGCGCAGAUAUCGGGAAGAACACCCGUGGCGAAGGCGGCUCUCUGGGACGGUACUGACGCUGAGACGCGAAAGCGUGGGGAGCGAACAGG
rnacentral:rRNA from 1 species